rnacentral:rRNA from 1 species
CUGUCGCUUUAAGCGACCUAAAGGAACGUUUAAGACUAAGACGUUGAUAGGCUGGGUGUGUAAGCGUAGCGAUACGUUGAGCUAACCAGUACUAAUGAACCGUGAGGCUUAACCUGACAACACCGAAGGUGUUU